GUGUCAAGUGGACACAAGUUAUGGGAAGAACUAUAAGGAAUGUCACCUCAAUGUCACUGCAGUGAAGGAUCGACCCGAACCUGAGACAUCGAGUGACACCAGACUGAGAAGAGAUCCUCGGGGAAGGAUCGUUCUCUACUGUGUACUGGGACUGACAGCAGCUCUACUGGUUCUUUAUUAAUUUUAUCUCUGCAUUACCAAAAAUAUUAGUGAUUACCACAGAAAUUAUACAAAAGUCAAUGGUGACAUGAAGUGUCAGGGAGACUGUGGGUGUAGAGUCCAAUCAGAGGAUCAACAGUUCCAUCCCUGCUGACCCGCGUGUUGAUGAGCCCUUGAGCAAGACACUAACCCAGCAUUGCUGCUCAUCAGUGUGUGAGUGGUUGAAUAACGUAUAUAUUUAUAUAUACCGGUUUAAUUUUUGUGUUCUCUGACUGAGAUUCAAAGGAAAUCCACAGUCUUUACAGACUGAAGUGUUUUUUUUGUUCUAGACCUUCGGCUCCUCUAACAGAGACUCUGACUACUGAACAUAUUCUGCAUUAAGCAUCAUGCUGCUCGUCAUCAAAGACUAAUGUUUCAUCUGGUUCCUGUUCAUAAAGAAAAGGAAACAGAUUAAUAUUCUGUAUGUUAACUUGAUUUUGCUCAGAGUGUCUGUUAGAGUUCUGGUGACGUCACUGUACGUCUGGUCAUUGCGCCUCGCUCCGCAGAAUGAGAAACGUCACCACGUUGUGGUCGUAAAUCAUUUCACUGUCGUAAAGCCUGUAUGAAGA